rnacentral:rRNA from 1 species
AUUGAACGCUGGCGGCAUGCUUUACACAUGCAAGUCGAACGGUAACAGGCCGCAAGGUGCUGACGAGUGGCGAACGGGUGAGUAAUAUAUCGGAACGUGCCCAGUCGUGGGGGAUAACGUAGCGAAAGCUACGCUAAUACCGCAUACGAUCUACGGAUGAAAGCGGGGGAUCGCAAGACCUCGCGCGAUUGGAGCGGCCGAUAUCAGAUUAGGUUGUUGGUGAGGUAAAAGCUCACCAAGCCUGCGAUCUGUAGCUGGUCUGAGAGGACGACCAGCCACACUGGAACUGAGACACGGUCCAGACUCCUACGGGAGGCAGCAGUGGGGAAUUUUGGACAAUGGACGCAAGUCUGAUCCAGCAAUGCCGCGUGCAGGACGAAGGCCUUCGGGUUGUAAACUGCUUUUGUACGGAACGAAACGGUGAGCUCUAAUACAGUUUGCUGAUGACGGUACCGUAAGAAUAAGCACCGGCUAACUACGUGCCAGCAGCCGCCGUAACAC